GGGAUUCAGUGAGGUUGCACUUGUUCCUGUAAAAAGGAAUAGUUUCGUUCAGGAUUUGAAAUUUUUCCUAAGUCCUCUGUUUGGUGACAUGUAUAAACAGAGGUAGACUAUAAGGUUCCACCAUUCUUGAUUGAAAAUAGAUAUUCUAUUUAUCGAAUUGAAUAUGUGAUUGGAUGUAAUCAUUGGAUAUUCUAAACCUUUCUAAUCAAUGGUAAUCACUCCUACUAUAAGAACUGAUUCCAAACCCCUGAUGAAGUCCUAACGGACGAAACGCGUUGGGUUUUGCAACGUCUGGUUAACAAAGUCCUUAUCACAAGCAUCUGGUUGGAGAUACAUCCAUUUCGAGUUCUGACUGUGAUUACCUGGCUGUAAAAUCCUCACAUCCAACUGUCAUUUAUGUACAAGAUUGUAAUAUUGUUUUAUAUGAAUUUUUAGAAGGUUGUGUCAAUAACGAACGCUUAGGAUAAAUAUCGUUUGUUUCUGUACAAUAAAAACUUUUAAUUAUUGUCAUACAAAAGGCAUAUUGGCUCCCACGAGAAUCCAUUUCUAUUUAUAUAUAGAUCCUAUUAAUAAAAAAAUAUAUCAUGAAUCACCUAAAUACACUACUCCUAGAAUACAGCUAAUAAAAUCUGUAUAUGCUAAUUCAGAAAGAGGUUUGAGAGUUCCUUGAUUCCACUCUCUGACAUGUAUCAAUUAAUAAAUUCACAAAACCAUUUGAUUUUGAAAUCAUGAUUUAAUCCCAGUG